GUGGGGAAUUUUGGACAAUGGGCGCAAGCCUGAUCCAGCAAUGCCGCGUGCAGGAAGAAGGCCUUCGGGUUGUAAACUGCUUUUGUACGGAACGAAACGGUCCGGGUUAAUACCCUGGGCUAAUGACGGUACCGUAAGAAUAAGCACCGGCUAACUACGUGCCAGCAGCCGCGGUAAUACGUAGGGUGCAAGCGUUAAUCGGAAUUACUGGGCGUAAAGCGUGCGCAGGCGGUUUUGUAAGACAGGCGUGAAAUCCCCGGGCUCAACCUGGGAAUUGCGCUUGUGACUGCAGUGCUGGAGUGCGGCAGAGGGGGAUGGAAUUCCGCGUGUAGCAGUGAAAUGCGUAGAUAUGCGGAGGAACACCGAUGGCGAAGGCAAUCCCCUGGGCCUGCACUGACGCUCAUGCACGAAAGCGUGGGGAGCAAACAGGAUUAGAAACCCGGGUAGUCC
rnacentral:rRNA from 1 species